rnacentral:rRNA from 1 species
GACGAACGCUGGCGGCGUGCUUAACACAUGCAAGUCGAGCGGUAAGGCCCUUUCGGGGGUACACGAGCGGCGAACGGGUGAGUAACACGUGGGUGACCUGCCUUUAGCUCUGGGAUAAGCCUGGGAAACUGGGUCUAAUACCGGAUAUGACCCUAUGGCGCAUGUUGUGGGGUGGAAAGCCUUGUGCGGCUAGGGAUGGGCCCGCGGCCUAUCAGCUUGUUGGUGGGGUGAUGGCCUACCAAGGCGACGACGGGUAGCCGGCCUGAGAGGCGACCGGCCACACUGGGACUGAGACACGGCCCAGACUCCUACGGGAGGCAGCAGUGGGGAAUCUUGCGCAAUGGGCGAAAGCCUGACGCAGCGACGCCGCGUGAGGGAUGAC